UCAUAUUACUGGAGCACUGAAUGCAGUGUUGUCUGCUGAGCAUAAACAAGAGAUGUGUCGUUGUCUUUACAAUCAUCAGAUGGGGGUUGGGGUCUACAUACUGAAGGACCAAGUACAAUGUUCGGUUCAUGCCUAAACUAUGUUACUAUGAGAUUGCUUGGAGAAGGAGCUGAUGAUGGAGAAGGGGCAAUAGAAAAAACAAGGAAAUGGAUUCUAGACCAUGGUGGUGGAGAAGGGGCAAUGGAAAAAACAAGGAAAUGGAUUCUGGACCAUGGUGGUGCUGCUGCUAUAACAUCAUGGGGGAAAUGUGGCUUUCAGUACAUAAUUUAACCUCUUUAUUGUGUUUUCUUUUAAAAUUAGAGGGGAAUAGACAAUGUUCGUUAGGAGUUUCUAGUUCUUUUUAACUAAUUCAUUAAUGGUGACAUGUGCUAGAAGUUUUUGAA